rnacentral:rRNA from 1 species
CAGUCGCCACGGUAAUACGAGGGGAGCUAGCGUUAUUCGGAAUUACUGGGCGUAAAGCGCACGCAGGCGGCUUUGUAAGUUAGAGGUGAAAGCCCAGAGCUCAACUCUGGAAUUGCCUUUAAGACUGCAUCGCUUGAAUCCAGGAGAGGUGAGUGGAAUUCCGAGUGUAGAGGUGAAAUUCGUAGAUAUUCGGAAGAACACCAGUGGCGAAGGCGGCUCACUGGACUGGUAUUGACGCUGGGGUGCGAAAGCGUGGGGAGCAAACAGGAUUAGAUACCCGCGUAGUCCCUGUCUCUUAUAC